rnacentral:tRNA from 2 species
GCCAGCGUAACUCAAAGGAUAGAGCGCGUGAUUGGCUUUCGCGUCGAUGUCGGUUCGAGUCCGACCGCUGGCACCA